rnacentral:rRNA from 1 species
AACUAACCAGGAUUCCCCUAGUAACGGCGAGUGAAGAGGGAAUAGCCCAGCACCGAAGCCUGUGGCAGUUUUGCUGCAAGGCAAUGUGGUGUUUAGGUCGAUUUAUGGACAUGCCACUCCAUUCGAAGUCCAGCACUGAGUAUGGUUCCAAUGGACUUGGCCCAGAGAGGGUGAAAGGCCCGUGCGGAUGGAGGUAUCAGGUAUGAUGGUGUGUCCCCGAGUUGACCUUGGAGUCGGGUUGUUUGAGAUUGCAGCCCAAAGCGGGUGGUAAACUCCAUCCAAGGCUAAAUACUAGCACGAGUCCGAUAGCGAACAAGUACCGUGAGGGAAAGUUGAAAAGUACUUUGAAGAGAGAGUAAACAGUACGUGAAACCGCCUAGAGGUAAACGGGUGGCGUCAAGCUGCAAGCCCGGAGGAUUCAAUUGGUCAGUGUUUGUGCUCGUGUGCUUGGGCACGCCAGUCAACUUGGAGGGUCGUCACCAGUAUUGGUGAACUGGUUGGUUUACGCCUGCCGGUAUUCUGUUGCAUGGUAUGUGGCAGAGGCUCACACCAAGUGUUGUAAUUGGACUGACUGGCCGAUGCACUUCCUCCGUGGUGGACACCACGACCGGCGGAACUGUCAGUCUGCCUUGACCAGACAGGUUGUUGCGUAGCUGUGUAAAUGGUUGCGUGCUCCUGUUAUUCACGGGCAUUCGGUGUGGAGUGUGGUGGGUGUUAAAGCCUGCUUCUGCUCUCACUGGGUGCAAGCAGGCCUGCUUGCCCUUCUCCGGAGGGGUGGCUUGUCUGGUGGGUCUUGGUGGUAUGUAUAACUGUACAGGGCGCCGGAGUUGACGGUCACAUUGCUCUGCGGGGCGUACGGUGCGUAUGGUCAUGUGGUUAGCUGUUGAUCGUCGUGUCGCUUGUGCAAACAAGCCCGAUGGUGGUUGACUCUUGUGCCGUGCGUAGUGUAUGUGCGCUGGUGGAGUGUUAUGAAGGACCUAUAGUCUGUGGUGCUGUGGUAGACCAGCCACCUGACCCGUCUUGAAACA